GGGAAGGUUGCUCAGUGGUAGAGCGCUUGCCUUGUAUGCUUGAGGCCCUGGGUUCGAUUCCCAGCACCA
rnacentral:tRNA from 1 species